AUUUCAUCUUCCUUUAUCUGAUUUCAUCUCUUUCGAAUUCCAUUUCAAUUUCGUCUACUUGCUUUCAUCGUUCAUUUCGUAGGAGUUGUGGCUCGUGCCCUUAGGGGAAGAUAUUCUCUCUUUCAAUUUCAUCGUUCUCUAUUAAAUAAGAUUCCCUUUUUUUUUUUCAGGUCGUCGUCGACUGCACGGUGAUCUUACCUCUCGCCGAACCUCCGUCGACUCUCCGUCGACUCCACCGCAGGCUGAUGAAGAAGCAAGGUUAAGGGAAGAAUUUGAGAAGCAGGUAGAAAGCUUCCUUCUAAAGAAGAGUCACAUGCUUUGAAUUCAAAUGUUAUUACUCCUGGAACUAAAUUUGUGGAUGUCUUGUCAAUUGCAUUUCAGUAAGUGUUGUUAAUGCGAGCAAUUCACUUCCCUUAACAUAUAUGAAUCGGUUUGUUACGAGGUUCAUUAAGUCUGCUAUUUUUUUUGGUAACGAGUACUCUAAUGAAGUAGCAGGACAAAUUCCUAUGACCUCUUAGUAAGAAAACCGGAAAGCAACAUCAAGAUCAUAUCAUGGAGUUUGAGGCAAAGCAAGUCUGCUCUAGAAAAGAAAAGCAUAGCAACUAAGGAUAAGAAAAUGUGGAGAUUAAAGAUAGGAGACGGAGGGAAGAGUCCAUACUUAUUCAACACAAACAAAUGCAGACUCUAAAAUUCACUUUAUUUAAUCUAUUUAUCCAUUACACUUAAGCCAUACAU